rnacentral:tRNA from 1 species
ACGGGACUAGCUCAGUUGGUUAGAGCGUCGGUCUCCAAAACCGGCUGUCGGGAGUUCGAAUCUCUCGUCCCGUG